rnacentral:rRNA from 1 species
GUAGGGCGGGACACGUGGUAUCCUGUCUGAAUAUGGGGGGACCAUCCUCCAAGGCUAAAUACUCCUGACUGACCGAUAGUGAACCAGUACCGUGAGGGAAAGGCGAAAAGAACCCCGGCGAGGGGAGUGAAAAAGAACCUGAAACCGUGUACGUACAAGCAGUGGGAGCACAGGUUUACCUGUGUGACUGCGUACCUUUUGUAUAAUGGGUCAGCGACUUAUAUUCUGUAGCAAGGUUAACCGUAUAGGGGAGCCGGAGGGAAACCGAGUCUUAACCGGGCGUUAAGUUGCAGGGUAUAGACCCGAAACCCGGUGAUCUAGCCAUGGGCAGGUUGAAGGUUGGGUAACACUAACUGGAGGACCGAACCGACUAAUGUUGAAAAAUUAGCGGAUGACCUGUGGCUGGGGGUGAAAGGCCAAUCAAACCGGGAGAUAGCUGGUUCUCCCCGAAAGCUAUUUAGGUAGCGCCUCGUGAAUUCAUCUCCGGGGGUAGAGCACUGUUUCGGCUAGGGGGCCAUCCCGGCUUACCAACCCGAUGCAAACUGCGAAUACCGGAGAAUGUUAUCACGGGAGACACACGGCGGGUGCUAACGUCCGUCGUGAAGAGGGAAACAACCCAGACCGCCAGCUAAGGUCCCAAAGUCAUGGUUAAGUGGGAAACGAUGUGGGAAGGCCCAGACAGCCAGGAUGUUGGCUUAGAAGCAGCCAUCAUUUAAAGAAAGCGUAAUAGCUCACUGGUCGAGUCGGCCUGCGCGGAAGAUGUAACGGGGCUAAACCAUGCACCGAAGCUGCGGCAGCGACGCUGAUGCGUUGUUGGGUAGGGGAGCGUUCUGUAAGCCUGUGAAGGUGUGUCGUGAGGCAUGCUGGAGGUAUCAGAAGUGCGAAUGCUGACAUAAGUAACGAUAAAGCGGGUGAAAAGCCCGCUCGCCGGAAGACCAAGGGUUCCUGUCCAACGUUAAUCGGGGCAGGGUGAGUCGACCCCUAAGGCGAGGCCGAAAGGCGUAGUCGAUGGGAAACGGGUUAAUAUUCCCGUACUUGGUGUUACUGCGAAGGGGGGACGGAGAAGGCUAUGUUGGCCGGGCGACGGUUGUCCCGGUUUAAGCGUGUAGGUGUGUGUUCCAGGUAAAUCCGGUUCACUUUAACACUGAGGCGUGAUGACGAGGCACUACGGUGCUGAAGCAACAAAUGCCCUGCUUCCAGGAAAAGCCUCUAAGCAUCAGGUAACAUCAAAUCGUACCCCAAACCGACACAGGUGGUCAGGUAGAGAAUACCAAGGCGCUUGAGAGAACUCGGGUGAAGGAACUAGGCAAAAUGGUGCCGUAACUUCGGGAGAAGGCACGCUGACAUGUAGGUGAAGUGAUUUACUCAUGGAGCUGAAGUCAGUCGAAGAUACCAGCUGGCUGCAACUGUUUAUUAAAAACACAGCACUGUGCAAACACGAAAGUGGACGUAUACGGUGUGACGCCUGCCCGGUGCCGGAAGGUUAAUUGAUGGGGUCAGCGCAAGCGAAGCUCCUGAUCGAAGCCCCGGUAAACGGCGGCCGUAACUAUAACGGUCCUAAGGUAGCGAAAUUCCUUGUCGGGUAAGUUCCGACCUGCACGAAUGGCGUAAUGAUGGCCAGGCUGUCUCCACCCGAGACUCAGUGAAAUUGAACUCGCUGUGAAGAUGCAGUGUACCCGCGGCAAGACGGAAAGACCCCGUGAACCUUUACUAUAGCUUGACACUGAACAUUGAGCCUUGAUGUGUAGGAUAGGUGGGAGGCUUUGAAGUGUGGACGCCAGUCUGCAUGGAGCCGACCUUGAAAUACCACCCUUUAAUGUUUGAUGUUCUAACGUGGACCCGUAAUCCGGGUUGCGGACAGUGUCUGGUGGGUAGUUUGACUGGGGCGGUCUCCUCCUAAAGAGUAACGGAGGAGCACGAAGGUUGGCUAAUCCUGGUCGGACAUCAGGAGGUUAGUGCAAUGGCAUAAGCCAGCUUGACUGCGAGCGUGACGGCGCGAGCAGGUGCGAAAGCAGGUCAUAGUGAUCCGGUGGUUCUGAAUGGAAGGGCCAUCGCUCAACGGAUAAAAGGUACUCCGGGGAUAACAGGCUGAUACCGCCCAAGAGUUCAUAUCGACGGCGGUGUUUGGCACCUCGAUGUCGGCUCAUCACAUCCUGGGGCUGAAGUAGGUCCCAAGGGUAUGGCUGUUCGCCAUUUAAAGUGGUACGCGAGCUGGGUUUAGAACGUCGUGAGACAGUUCGGUCCCUAUCUGCCGUGGGCGCUGGAGAACUGAGGGGGGCUGCUCCUAGUACGAGAGGACCGGAGUGGACGCAUCACUGGUGUUCGGGUUGUCAUGCCAAUGGCACUGCCCGGUAGCUAAAUGCGGAAGAGAUAAGUGCUGAAAGCAUCUAAGCACGAAACUUGCCCCGAGAUGAGUUCUCCCUGAGACUUUAGGUCUCCUGAAGGAACGUUGAAGACGACGACGUUGAUAGGCCGGGUGUGUAAGCGCAGCGAUGCGUUGAGCUAACCGGUACUAAUGAACCGUGAGGCUUAACCUUACA